rnacentral:rRNA from 1 species
GACAGAGGUGCCGAGCGUUAGGCGGAAUCACUGGGCUUAAAGCGUGUGUAGGCGGAUGCCUAAGUACCUUGUGAAAUCCCACGGCUCAACCGUGGAACUGCUUGGUAUACUGGGUGUCUUGAGCUAUCUAGGGGCAACUGGAACAAACGGUGGAGCGGUGAAAUGCGUAGAUAUCGUUUGGAACGCCAAUGGUGAAAACAGGUUGCUGGGGAUAUGCUGACGCUGAGACACGAAGCCAGGGGAGCAAGCGGG